AAUAAGCCUCAGCAAAAGCCGCCCCUGCUCCGUGUGUAAAACAGCAGUGGCUCCCAGAGGGGCAGCUCUCCACUCAGAAAGAACUCCCCCUGUGAGGCCAGUUGAUGGAGUGUUUUCUGGGCACGUUUUCUCAUUGAAUCCUGAGUAUGGCUCUGUAAGCUACUGCCAAUAGCUCUUGUUGCCACCAGCAACCUUAUCCAAAAGAGAACAUUUCCGGCCCAGCAUUCCAAGCAGGAGUCUUGAGACCCACUCUGCCUGGAUUGCAUCACAUGCCCACCUGAACUCUUAGGCUCUGCCAAAGGAUACAACUUUGGGCCCACCAGCCGACCCGAGAUGCCUGCUUUCCAUAGACCAUUGUGUUGUGAACUCCAAUCCCUAUGAUCAUCCCUUAUUCCAGAUCCCAUGAGUGAUCCUGCUUCCCUGAUCAAUCCCUGGUAUGAUGGUAAAUAAAACUGCCACUUCUUGUAAGCCGACCACAGGCGCAUGCAUUAUUAUUCUUCACGACAUCCACAUAGGACUGUGAGAAUUUCUGACAAUUACUGACUGAGACUAUUGACACUAUUUUACACUUUUUAUAUUAGGGUUCCAGAUAAGUGAAACCAAUAGGAGAUAUACAGAGAC